ACGAAAACUUUUAUUAUAUUAAUAUAUUAGCACUUUUUUUUAUUUUAACUAUUAAAAAUAAUUAUCAAACAAACACAGUAAAGCGAUGUGAUGUUUGUGCCGUCGUGACUAUAUGCUGUGGUUUUUACUUAUGUCUGUCUUUAACUUAAUGAACGGAAUCUAGAGUUUGAUAGUCAAAAAAAAAUUUUAAUGAUUAAUAACUUUUUUUUCGGUGGAUAUACGGUAUGCAUGGGUUGAUAUUUCAAUGAUAUUUUUCUUGGGGUCCAAUUUUUGUCCAAUAUUUAUAUUUAAAAGUUCCAAAAUGAGUUCUGUAUGGCAAAGAUUGAAACGUGUGAAUAAAAAGGCUUCAAAAUUUAACUUUAUUGCAUCAUUUCAAGAGGUUAUAGUUGAAACUGCUUCAAAUUGGUCUCCCUCUCAAUUGUGUGUAGUUUGGACUAGAAAAAGCCGCAGACACGCGACUGCUGCACUUCAAUGGGAACCAAUGCUCUCUAAUCCUUGUAAAGGUUCAAUUGUGUGGCCUAUUCCUGAAAACAAAACUGUCACUGUCACAUUGUUUUCUGACCAAAGAAGUGGUGAAUUUGAGGAUAAAAAUUGGACUUUUAUACUUGAAGAUGUAUCUAAACCAGGCCGAUCACUAGCAUCAGCCAAAAUAAACAUGGCACUGUAUGCAAAUGUAUUUCCACAGCCAAUUAAAGUUAAAUUGAAGCCUACAUCAAAAGUUGUUAUUGAAGCAGUUUUAAAACUCACAAUAUCCUCUGAAUUUAUUAAAGAAGGCCGUGCAACUGAUGAAGACAUGAUAAGUUUGGCUAGUUUAAUGAAUGAAAGCACUUGUUCAAUUGACGUUGGAAAUCUCAGUGAUUUUAAUAAAGAAGAAGAGACUACUCUUGAAAUAGUUAAUCUUGUUUCACAAUUGGAAUUAUUAACUCAAGGAACAGACAUCAAAAAUGAAUUAACUUCUGAAAUUGAUGAUCAAACUGUGAUUGAUGAACAAAGUGCUCUUAACUUUCCUCCGAAUGAUAAUGCACAGCUAAUUAUUGAAGAACCUCAAACAGAACCUAUAAGGACUCAUUGUGACGAAGUUAAUGAUCUUUUGGCUUGGUGUAAAAGUGUUACAAAAGACUAUAAUGGAAUCAUCAUAACAAAUUUCACUACUUCUUGGAGAAACGGCCUAGCAUUUUGUGCUGUGAUCCAUCACUUUGCACCAGCAUUGAUUGAUUUUGAAUCUUUGAAUCCUCAUAAUAUUAAAGAAAAUUGUGAAAAGGCUUUCAAUGCUGCUGCAUCUCUUGGUAUUCCUAACGUAAUCAAUCCGGGUGAUAUGGUCGCAUUAGCUGUACCAGAUAAGUUGUCAGUUAUGACUUAUUUAUACCAAAUGAAGGCUUAUUUUACUACUUCAAAGGAUUUUCCAUCAACAUAUAAAAAAUUGAGUGCAAAUCUAAUGUUACAAGUGAAAGAUGCUGAAGAAAAUAAAGAAUUAAUACCUCUAUAUGGUUCCAAAGAAAAACUGAAUACAAAUCUAAAAUUAAAAGUGAAAAAUUUUGAAAAAAAUAACGAAUCAAUUUCUUUACAUGGUGCCAAAGAAAAAAUAAACAUAAAUGAAAUGUUAGAAGUGAAAGAUGCUAAAGAAAAUAAAGAAUCUCUUCCAUUUCAUGGAUCCAUAGAAAAACUAAAUACAGACAUAAUGUUAAAUGUAAAAGAUACUAACAAAAAUAAAGAAUCUGUUCCAUUUUAUGGUUCCAAAGAAAAACUUAAUAAAAAUCUAAUGUUAUCCUUAGAAAUGAAAAAUGUGAAGGAAAAUAAAGACUUAACUCCUUUAUAUGUUUCCAAAAAUAAAAAGAAACGGGGGUGGUCAUUACCUAUCCCAAAUUUCAUGUCUAACAAUACAUUAAAAAAUAUUCAUAUUUUUGAAAAGCCAAAUGUAAAACCCAUUAAUUCGAAUAUAGUACCAGCAGAAUGUAAUAGUAAAAUUGCUAAUGUAAAACCUGUGCCAAUAUUAAUGACCAGAAAACAGCUUUUAAAUCCAUUUGAUUCUUCUGAUAGUGACGAAGAUGAGGAAUCUUUAGCACUAAAAUCCUCUGCCAAACAAUUUACAAAUGAAUCUGUUGAUAAUUUAGAACCUAUAAUUGCUGAUGAAAUUGUUGACAUAGAGAAAACAGAAAGUUUAGUUAAAACUAAUUUAUCAGAUGACGAAGUUCCACAAAUUCUGGAUCUUUCACCAUCUAAGGAAUUUUCUCAAAAAAACUACUUCAAUGAAGCUAAGGAUUCUCAGAAAGAAGUUUCAAAAGAAAGGGUCAAGUCUUUUCUAGAAAUGACUAGAAAUGAUGUAUUGGCAAACAAUAGUAAUAAGGUGGAACAUGCAAGGCAUUUGAUGUUAAAGGCAAAAGCACGAAAAUUAAUAGAAGAUGCACGUAAGGGCAUCGCACCUGACUUAAAUGCCCUUGAUGCAUCAUUCAUAGCUCCACAAGAUCUACCUGAAACAAUGAACUGUUUUAUUGAUAAUAAUCAAUUGCUAUCCGACAAUACUGAUAGUAAAGAAUCAUGUCUGGACUACAGAAAAAUUUUACAAGAAACAAAAAAUGAAAACCUUAGGCAUGAGGUUGACGCAGGCUAUUACAUUGAUGAAGAAAUAAAAGCAAUUGAAGAUAAACAUAAGAGUUUGGACAAAAUAGCAUCAGAAAUUGAAAAAAAUGUUCGAGCUGCUAUGAAAGAUAACAAAGAUGUUUUAGAAGAUCAACUUUUAAAAAUGUGGUUUACAUCAAUCAAUGAAAAAAAUUCUCUUUUGCGUCGUCAAACUCAACUACAAAUUCAAAAAAAAGAAUAUGAAUUGCAGAAACGCUGUGAAUUUUUAACUGAAGAACUAAGAAGAUUGACUUCUAAAAGUGAUAAACAAAAAUCUCAUACACAAAAGGCCCGUGAACAAUUUUUAAUGGAACAGUUAUUGAUACUCAUUAAUGAGCGAGAUGAACUUGUUCAUGAUUUGCAUUUACAAGAACAAGGGAUUGAUGAUGAUCAAGAAGCAGCUGCUGGUACACGUGUUGCAAACCUUCGUUUAGAGGCUUCUCAACAUCGACUUUGUAUUCUUCAGUGAAUUUAUUAUAUAUUCAUUUACUCUUUUUAUAUUUUCUUUAUAUAUAUAUAUACACACGCAAAUAAACAUAAAUAUUGACUAUAAAAUUCUUGUAUUAAUAAUGUCAACAAUCAUCCUGUGUUGAAAUAUAUCUGUUUGUAUAGUGUUCGCUACCUAAUAGAGACUAUAAGAAAUUAAUUUCACUUAACUAAAAUUUGUUUUUCUGCCUCUUCAUCUAGCCAUCUUAAAUCUGAAGUUGAAUUUAAAUUAGAAAAUUUUUGUAUUUUUAAGUAUCAUAGACAUUGAAAUUAUUAGCUAAAGAGUGACCAAUGUUAAAUUAAUUAGAAUUAGUUUAUUUUCCUUUGCACUUAAUAUGAUUGGGAAAUUUUUUCAUUUAAAUCUUUAACCUAACGUUAUUAUACUAGCAAAACAAAAUCGUUUUGUUUCAGCCUACAGUUAUAUAUAUCUCUGUUUCAAUAAUAUUGAGGGGAACACCUAUUGAAAUCAAACCAAAAAGGUCUUUUAGGUCUAUAGCCAUGGAAUUGGGUAUAAACCAAAAACUUCUCCAUAGAAAAGGAUUUGCUUUGUGUAAAGUUAAAAUAACUACACCCUAAUAGCUUCUUUUUCUGUAGCUCUACAGCCUGUUGCAGGCCAAAGUUGUCUCCAAAAGUUUCUUCUGUCAGGAAUCAUGGUAAAAAAAAGAAAGGUUGAAAAAGAUGAUCAGAUUUUCAUGAAGUAAGGGCCAAUGAGCCUCACUAUGCACCUGCUGAACUCCAAAAUAUGCCUGAUAUGAAAGUUAAGUACUGCUGUGAGUAUUGUAUUGUAAAUUUUUACCUGUUAUAAAUGAACUAUUAUUUUGUACCUAAAAUGAUAUGUGAUUAUUAAAGUUGCUUAAGGGGCUUUUCUUUUACUUGC
rnacentral:misc_RNA from 1 species